CUCUUUUCUCCUGCCAUGGGGGGGCGCUCUUUUUCGGGAGUAAAAAUUCCUUUACAAAUGUGUUGAUGGCUGGACAUUGCAUCAUCCUAGAGAACUUGGAGGCCAGUGAGGACAAAAAUAAAAAGUUAUAACACUUUUAAGAAUAUGGAUAUUUGGGUCAUCUUUGGCGCCCCCUAGAACGUAAACCGUGGGGUGCAGCGUCAUGAUUUUUACAACUUUGAAUGGCCAUGGGGUGUAGAUUGGCCUGAGCAAAUUUGGUGUCAGUGGGACGAAAGCUGUAGGACGAGUUAGCCACAUUCCAAUGUGUGCGAAUCAGCAAAAAAUGCAAAAUAGCCCUUUAACCGUACAUUUUACAGAUACGUGCCCAUUGACUUUUUCGUAGAUCUUAUUGAGAUACAUGUGUGUGUCAAUUUUUGUGUCAAUAUGACAAAGCGUACAGGCGUGACAGUCAACAAUGUGUAUUUUCACCUUAGGGGACAAGAAAAAAUGGACUUUUUUCUCCUGCCAUGUGGGGGCGCUCUUUUGGGGAGUAAAAAUUCCUUCACAAAUGUGUUGAUGGCUGGACAUUGCAUCAUCCUAGAGAACUUGGAGGCCAGUGAGGAAAAAAAUAAAAAGUUAUAAGACUUUUAAGAAUGUGGAUUUUUUGGUUAUCUUUGGCGCCCCCUAGAACCUAAACCGUGGGGUGCAGCGUCAUGAUUUGUACAACUUUCGAUGGCCAUGGGGUGUAGAUUGGCCUGAGCAAAU